rnacentral:rRNA from 1 species
UACGUAGGGUGCAAGCGUUGUCCGGAAUUAUUGGGCGUAAAGAGCUCGUAGGCGGUUUGUCGCGUCUGCUGUGAAAACUCAGGGCUUAACCCUGAGCUUGCAGUGGGUACGGGCAGACUAGAGUGCGGUAGGGGAGACUGGAAUUCCUGGUGUAGCGGUGAAAUGCGCAGAUAUCAGGAGGAACACCGGUGGCGAAGGCGGGUCUCUGGGCCGAUACUGACGCUGAGGAGCGAAAGCGUGGGGAGCGAACAGG